ACCCCCAGUGCUGGAUAUGCCAUUGGGAAGGUGCCUUCUUCAUCCUACCCGGGUUCUGAAACCCCACUUGGAGCCGUCCCUUUGCAUGGACACCCUUUUCAGCGUUUGGGCUCAUGACCCCAUCCUGGGAUGCCCCUUCCAUGUGGAAGCCAUUUUUGCUGGCUCAGAGUCAACUUCCACCCUAGGCUGCUCACACAUGCAGCGUCCUCUCCACCCACUGGGCCCCACUGCUCAGGCUGAACAUGCCCCUGCACUGACAUCCUCCUCUGCAUCCUUGUGCUCUGACCCCUUGCUCAGGUUUCAACACCCACUGCCAUGUCAUCACUCACAGCCCAUCCCAUGCGGACAUCCUCUUGACCCUGCUUGUUCUUCAGCACCUCGCACCUCACCCCUCACACCUCCUAACUGCCGUCCCUCCUCACCCUCCGCUUGCCAGGCAGCCAUCUUCCAUGAAUGUGCUCAUCUUUGGACUCCCAAGUGCUACUGUGCUACUCUAGGUCACUAGCUGUCUUCACUCUGGGACAAACACCCACUUCUAUUUCAUCUAAUGGCUUCAGGCUUAUGUUGGUUACCAAGAAAGGUCAUGAUCCCGGUGAUGUCAAUGAGAAGACACUUGAGCCAGCGGCGGGAAGACAAACAGGUUGGGACAAACAUAAAUGAAGCAUGAGAGAAAUUAUUUCAGCAACUGGAAGGACAUGGAAUGCUAGAAUGGCAAAUAGUUUUCUUUUUA